rnacentral:lncRNA from 1 species
UCGCGGAGGUUUUGUUUCCCAGAGGAGCAGCCGGCGCCAGCCCCGCGGGCGGGGAGGGCUCAGCCCCCGGCGAGGGAGAGCCCAAAGGAGCGCUCGGGUGCCCCGGGCACACCGGGAAUGAGGGAACAGCGCCGGGAGAGCGGCCGGCAGCUCCCGGAGCUGCUCCAGGCCUGGAGCCCCUCGGUUCCCGGGGAUCCAGCCCGGGAGAGCCGGGAAUGCUCCCCUGGAGAAGGGAAAGCUCCUCUGCGUUCACUCGGCUGCCACAGCACGGCUGCAGGUGCAGGAACGAACCAUUCCCGUUCCCACACUGCCAGAAACUCGGGGAAAUCACGGCAUUCAGCAAUCCGGUGCUAAUUUAAAACCCAAGGAUGUUUCAAUAUCCAGCAAAAACCCCGCAGGCAAUCCCGUCCCCAGGAGCCACCAGAGCCCCCUCAAACAGGAAUUCCGUGUUUAUUCCAGGGAUAUCCGGCUGAAGGGAGAGGGAAGAGGGAGGGAUGAGGAGGGAGAGGGGCCGGAGGUGACGGUGACACGGAGCUGGGCGCUCCUGGAGAUGCUCCCCUGCAGCAGCUUCAGCUUCCUCUGCCAGGAACAGAUGGAGGCACUGCCAUGGAUCCGUGUCCUGCCAGCUGGAUCCCAUCUUAUCCUCCUUUUCCAGCUGGAUCCCAUCUUAUCUCUCAUUUUCCAGCUUGAUCCCACCUUGUCCUUCCUCUCCCAGUUUGGAUCCCACCUCAAUCCUCCUCUCCCAGCUGGAUCCCAUCUCGUCCCUCCUCUCCCAGUUUGGAUCCCACACCGAUUCCCUGAUCCCAGCUGGAUCCCACACCGAUUCCCUGAUCCCAGCUGGAUCCCACACCGAUUCCCUGAUCCCACACCGAUUCCCUGAUCCCAGUUUGGAUCCCACAACAAUUCCCUGAUCCCACCUGGAUCCCACACCGAUUCCCUGCUCCCAGCUGGAUCCCACACCGAUUCCCUGAUCCCAGCUGGAUCCCACACUGAUUCCCUGAUCCCAGCUGGAUCCCACACCAAUUCCCUGAUCCCACACCGAUUCCCUGAUCCCAGCUGGAUCCCACACCGAUUCCCUGA